rnacentral:tRNA from 1 species
GCCCUCGUAGCUUAACUGGAUAAAGCAGGGCCCUUCUAAGGCCAAGAGUACAGGUUCGAGUCCUGUCGAGGGCACCA